rnacentral:rRNA from 1 species
GAUGAACGCUGGCGGCGUGCCUAAUACAUGCAAGUCGAGCGAAUGGAUUGAGAGCUUGCUCUUAUGAAGUUAGCGGCGGACGGGUGAGUAACACGUGGGUAACCUGCCCAUAAGACUGGGAUAACUCCGGGAAACCAGGGCUAAUACCGGAUAACAUUUGGAACCGCAUGGCUCGAAAUUGAAAGGCGGCUUCGGCUGUCACUUAUGGAUGGACCCGCGUAGCAUUAGCUAGUUGGUGAGGUAACGGCUCACCAAGGCAACGAUGCGUAGCCGGCCUGAGAGGGGGAUCGGCCACACUGGGACUGAGACACGGCCCAGACUCCUACGGGAGGCAGCAGUAGGGAAUCUUCCGCAAUGGACGAAAGUCUGACGGAGCAACGCCGCGUGAGUGAUGAAGGCUUUCGGGUCGUAAAACUCUGUUGUUAGGGAAGAACAAGUGCUAGUUGAAUAAGCUGACACCUUGACGGUACCUAACCAGAAAGCCACGGCUAACUACGUGCCAGCAGCCGCCGUAA